ACAACUAGCUUAAAAAAACAAGGAGAAAGGGGCAGCUAGAUGGUUUAGUGGACAGAGAAUCAGGCCUGAAGAUGGGAAGUCCUAGAUUCAUUUCUGACCUUGGACACGUCCUGGCUGUGUGACACUGGAAGCCUCAUCAGGACACAAAAGAGACCCUGAGUGUUCAGAGACCAAUCCAGAGGAACACAAGCUAAAAGAAGCUCAUCACCAGAAGAUUGGUCAACAGGGGA
rnacentral:lncRNA from 1 species